rnacentral:rRNA from 1 species
AUUGAACGCUGGCGGCAUGCCUUACACAUGCAAGUCGAACGGUAACGGGCCUUCGGGUGCCGACGAGUGGCGAACGGGUGAGUAAUGCAUCGGAACGUACCUUUCAGUGGGGGAUAACGUAGCGAAAGUUACGCUAAUACCGCAUAUUCUGUGAGCAGGAAAGCAGGGGAUCGCACGACCUUGCGCUGAUUGAGCGGCCGAUGUCAGAUUAGCUAGUUGGUGAGGUAAAGGCUCACCAAGGCGACGAUCUGUAGCGGGUCUGAGCGGAUGAUCCGCCACACUGGGACUGAGACACGGCCCAGACUCCUACGGGAGGCAGCAGUGGGGAAUUUUGGACAAUGGGGGCAACCCUGAUCCAGCCAUGCCGCGUGAGUGAAGAAGGCCUUCGGGUUGUAAAGCUCUUUCGGCCGGGAAGAAAUCGCACAGGCUAAUACCUUGUGUGGAUGACGGUACCGGAAUAAGAAGCACCGGCUAACUACGUGCCAGCAGCCGCCGUAAUAC